UAACUGGUCUUUUUACAGCUGUGGUUUUUGGGGCUAAUGGAAAUGAAUGGAUACACACAGUCACGACCACAUUAUGGAACAACUCCCUGGGUCGCAGUGCGUCCCUGGAGCUGUCAGACACCGCCUGUUGUUGGGAGCUUCUUUGUGUGGAGAAACAUCGGGGUCCGCUGCUCUACAAAGUGAAGAGCAAAAGCCAACCCCGCCCUCUGCCCCAUGUGACAGCGGCGGGCGUGUGAGUUCAGAUGGGGUACCAGAUAUUGAAGAACUGCCGGGUGUUAGUGAUGAUACCUCGCUACAAAUGAUACAGACAGCUGCAGAGUCCUGGGCCAAGCGCUAGUGACUGCUGGAAGGUGCUGAGGGCUGCAAAGAGAGAUGUGGAGCGGAACUGGAGAAGACGCACACCUCUGAAGACAUCACCAUGCCUGAGCAGCUUCUUGUGCUGUACUACCUGCAGGCCAUUCUCCAUUCUCCAGCUGAAGCACCUGCAUCACCUAAGAAUAUGACAAUACCAUCUUCCACUCACCACCAGCCAGGCUGCCAGGAGGGCAUUUGAGACGGCCACAGAGAGGCUCACAGAUGCACAAGAGAGCAUCGUGGCGGUUUAUCUGGCCCACUCAGAUGGACACACAAAACAGUUCCAGGGUCAUAUGGCGUACCAGCUGGCGGCGCUCCACGUACUACUGCUGGUACGUGUACCAAAGUUUGAGAACCACUGCACUAGAGGAUGCUGACACAUGACAACAUCUGCUUAGCCAUUGAAGUCAUUGAAGGUGUUGCAGAGGAGGGAGCUCAAUCAACACCAACAUCCACUGUGGCAGCUGCAGGAUCUGGAAAUCUGGAAGACAGAUGAUGCCACAGCCUUCCAGGAGCUGACACAGGAGUUUCCAGUGUCGUUAGAUGCGCAGCUUUCCAGAAAGAAAGAGCGCCUGAGACUGACUGGAAGUCAUGACUGACACAGUUACGACAGGUGGAGAUCAGAUCAGAUCAGAGGAAGAUGAGACUGCAGAACAUUAUUGAUCAUUAUGCUAGACGGUUACCAACAGAAGGCCAGGUGACCCGCUAUUUUCAAAACAUGGGCUGGACUGCAAAUACACCAACAGCGUCUGAAGUGCUUGAGAAGUGGAAGCCCACACAGAUGCACAACCAAAUGAAAGGCAAAUUAAAAAGAUGGAAAGCGUCAAACCUGGAGAGGCCUGAGUAUCACUGACGAUCCAGAGGUGGUGUGUGAAUACCAUGACAAAGGCGAUAUUCAUUGUCAGAAGACGGAUGAUGGCCAAGCAUUCCCAGAACGAACACUGGAGAUUCCAGCAGCAUUAGACGGGCAAACCGCUUGGGAAGAGACAUCGCCUGAGACAGACUGGACUUCAUGAACGACACCAAGAACAGAGCCUACAAGAUGAGUCUAGAUAACAAUUCCUUAAUCGUUUUAGUGAAUGUUUCUGAAAAGGCUAAGGACUACAGCAAUUGUUUUUGGACUACAGAUAUUUCAAAACUUCAUUAAGAAGUUAGACAUUUGAUAAAAAGACAUUUUAAAUGGCUUAUCUUUACAAGAAUAUUUUAGAACUUUGAUUGCAGUUCAAUAGAUGCCGUAGACCUAAUCCACAAUGUCUGCAUUUUAUUUUAAUUUUAGCCAUAAACUGUUGUAAAUAGUUUAAUUGAAAAAAAUAUUAAUUCAGAACACACAGUUGAUUUUGAAAUUGUGAGGCAAUUAUCAACUAUAGUGGCUCGUAUCUAUGACUGAGCUGUGAUUUCUGUUUAACAGAGACCUGUCUGUUACACAAAGGACAUUUUUCACUUUAACAGGUGUCACUUCCCAGCAGAACAAGUGUCUGGAACAAGUGUCUCCAGAUAAUCACAGCUGCCUGCCAGUCAAGAUGCCAGGAGGUACAUGAUGUGACCCACAAGUACGUAAUGUUGCAGAGAAGAGCAUUCAGUAUGGGAAAAAGAAAACAAGACAUUUAUCUGUUAACACAUCCAGAAUUCAAAAGAUGGGUGAUGGGACAGCAUUUCAAGACCAGGCACUAAAAGUUAAAUUGAAGUUUUAGAAGUGAUUCUUUGUGUUUGGCUUCAACACAAUAUGCUCACAUUAUUCAUUUUUACAUACUGCCUGAUAUUCAUUACAGUCCGGGGUUCCCAGGAGUACACACGGCACAGCCAAAAUGUGGCUAGCUGAAGUACAGCAGACCAUAGGGGAAGAUCUCUUGCCUACAUUAAUGUUUCUGCUCUGAAAAGCACUGGAUAAAAGUAUGUCACAGACUGCUGUUCAGCUGCUGAUUUUGUGCAAAACAUUGCAAAUGAAAGAUUGAAAUAUCAGCAUUCUAUGAAUUUCAGACAUGAGUAUGUAUGAGCUAGAUUUGCAACGCAUGUUUUAAAAACUGAAAAAUUGUAAUAGUGCAUGUUGUAAUGUAAUGUAAUUGUAAUUGUAAUGUUGUAAUAGCUCAUGUUGGGUUUAUUUUGCUAUACAAGAUGCUCACAGGAGUAAUCCCCUUUGAUAGAGGUGAUCAUUUAGGUUUAUUGGCAUUUGUAAAUAGUUCUGCUUUUCGUCUGAGUGUACCUCAAAUUUAUUAGAAUGGAACUAACCGUAUGCUCCCCACUAUAAUCACAGUUUUAGGCCAUCCUCUUUUAAGGUAAGAAGACUAUGUAGUACUUACAUACUAGACAAUUUUGAACACAUCACAGACUUAGCACAGCGCAUCCAUGAUGAAGGACAAAAAUAUCACGACUAUAAUCCUGAUGAUUAGGGAGUGGGAAAGUGGCUGUAGUCUGUGUUCGGAGCCUGGGGAUGAUAACUGGUACAAUAUUUCUUUAUUGGCCUAAUACUACUAAUCAUUUUUAUUUUAUGUAUUCACUGUCUUAAAGCUGUAUGCACAAAGGUAACUAACUCUGUUAGUUAGUCUCAUUGUUUAGAACAUAGUGGUGUGAAAAUAAAUAUGUUCUAAAGGAGGGACUGAAGGAAUGUUAUAAAAUUUAUAAAAGCUAACAAAAACUGCUUGUCUUUUAGCUUCCGAAAUGCUUAUAACCCUAGCAUAUGGAAACAUCAGUGGCAAAAUACAGCUUAUGUCUUAAAUGUAGUAAAAAGGGAAAUCAAAUGUCUUGUUUUGCCAAUGUAAGCAAUAACAAAAGUCUUGGUGCAGGUGGAUGCUGCACAUUGGUGGUGGUGGAGGGGAGUCCCCAUUACCUGUAAAGUGCUUUGAGUGGAGUGUCCAGAAAAGCACUAUAUAAGUGUAAGCAAUUAUUAAUUAUUAUUAUUAUUAAUAAGAAGUUGUUUUGCUGUACCCGAUCUUGACUAAAAAACUAAUGGUUCAUUUUAGGGAUUAGAUAAUCUAUGUUAAAGGUUGGAAGUUUGUCUAUCACUAUGUAUAAAAAGCACUGAGCAACGUCUUUUCGGAGAGACUUGCUUUUGCAAGCAGCUCUUCUGUGUGCACACGAAUAAAUAGCUUUUCUUUCACCAACA